rnacentral:pre_miRNA from 1 species
CGGAGAUGACACGCAGGUGCAUUGUAGUCGCAUUGUCUGUCCAUCUUGAUUUCAGGCAAUACAACUGCAGUGCAAGCUCUGUGCAUUUCA